AGUGAACGCUGGCGGUAGGCCUAACACAUGCAAGUCGAACGGCAGCACAGUAAGAGCUUGCUCUUGCGGGUGGCGAGUGGCGGACGGGUGAGGAAUACAUCGGAAUCUACUUUUUCGUGGGGGAUAACGUAGGGAAACUUACGCUAAUACCGCAUACGACCUACGGGUGAUAGCAGGGGAUCUUCGGACCUUGCGCGAUUGAAUGAGCCGAUGUCGGAUUAGCUAGUUGGCGGGGUAAAGGCCCACCAAGGCGACGAUCCGUAGCUGGUCUGAGAGGAUGAUCAGCCACACUGGAACUGAGACACGGUCCAGACUCCUACGGGAGGCAGCAGUGGGGAAUAUUGGACAAUGGGCGCAAGCCUGAUCCAGCCAUACCGCGUGGGUGAAGAAGGCCUUCGGGUUGUAAAGCCCUUUUGUUGGGAAAGAAAAGCAGCAGGUUAAUACCCCGCUGUUCUGACGGUACCCAAAGAAUAAGCACCGGCUAACUUCGUG
rnacentral:rRNA from 1 species